CGCCAGAUGACCAGGAUCUUCUAAUGGGCCGUGAGUGUCCCCAGAAGCAACUACAGUUCAUGGACAAGUUACUGGAUAUGAUGCAGAGCCUGGCCACUGGAUGCUCCAGUAGUUCUAGCCUGAAGGAACACCUUGAAGGUGCCACAGAGAAGAAUGACGCCUUGCUUGGGGAGCUGUUCUCCAGCCCCAACCUGUGGGCAAUUUUGAAACCCGAGAGUGACCCAUGGCCCCUGGACAUGCAGUCCUCUCUCAACAAGCAAUGUGAUGACCUGCCAAAGGCUGGCCCCUCUGCCCAGUCAGAGGGAGAGAAGGUGGCAGAUUUGGCCAGGCAGCUACAGGAGAGUGCUACUAAGCUUCAGACACUCCGAGACCAGGUGAAGGGUAUCAGCUCUGGGGAUUGUGGGACUUGGGGAACAGGCUCUGCUGAUUUCUAGGGAAAGUGGCGUCCCCCUCAGCUUGGUGUGCUGUGAGGCUUCAGUGAGAUACAGUAGGAGUGUGGAGGUAGGUGAUUAAGGUUCUGAGCAUGAAAGGGAAAAAUAUCCUUCAGAAGGCAACUAUGCACCAGGCCUGAACUGCAUGCCUUUACAUAUCUUCUCAAAUUCAGCCCUACUGGCAUCUGUUGGCUGGGCUAGAUAUUUAGCUAUGGAGACUGAGGUCUGUGCAAACAUUAGCCUCAUGGCUGAGGCCCCAUUUACACCCUCCCCAUAUCUUUCUUUAUGGAGACUUUCUCCCUCCAAUUUGUGCCAUGUUAUGUUAACUUGUGCUAUGUUAUGUGGGCUGGUGACAGCCUAGGCUGACUGGGAAGGGCAGCCUCAAGUGACUGUCACCCUUCAUUUUGCAGUGCUUUGCACAGCAUAAAGCAGGGACUGACACCAGCACCGUAGACCAGAAACUCCGUCUGGUCAUUUCUG
rnacentral:lncRNA from 1 species